rnacentral:rRNA from 1 species
UUCAUUUGGGCCGACCUCAGAGCAGGUG